rnacentral:lncRNA from 1 species
AUGGUAGUAUGAAUAAAGUGAUCAAAUGACCUACAACAAUGAAUCUUGAUCUGGCUUUCAAAGCAUUUUGAUUACUAAAAUAACAGGCAAAUGAUGCUCCUAUGGUGUUGGUCUUAGCGAUGGAAAUACUACAAUCUGACUUUGAUGUCAUGCUCUUCUAGAAUCAUUUGCUCUAUAUGCUCUGCUAUAGAGGCCUAUAACUCUGUUCAUUAAUUCUAACGAUUCAAUUAGAUUUCCUUUACCGACCUACUAUGACACACUGCAUAUAUUUUACUUGACAUAAACCUGAACAAGUGAGAUUAGGUGAACCUUUGUUCAGUACUGAAGGUUAUUUUAUUUAAGUUAUAACUAAAUUCUAACUAUUUAUAAUUUCAGGAUUCACCAAACAGAUGCACAUGCAGCUGUUUACCUAAAUGCAUUUACAUAAUGAUUCUAGACAAACUAAAAUGUUUCUUGUUGCUAACCCCAAAUAAUUAUAAACUAGAAUUAACCUAUUUACCUAUCAGUUAAAAUAAAAAUAUUUAUGUCCUACUAGUUACACUUCCUACUCUGCAGCUCAAAUUAUUAAUAUGAACAUUUUUACUGGAUCAGGGAUGCACUUGUUCAUCGUUUAGUGGAUGCAAAAGCAACACAUAGCUCCUAUACAAACUAGUAAAAUGCAUCACAUAAAAAUCAUGCCAUGAUAUGGUUUUAGUUUCAUUUUAAUCUUAGGAUUACCUUGUUAAUGACUCUAGUGUGGCUGUGAAGGUUGUGUGAUUUCUCAUGUUGGGACUGUAGCUUCACUCCCUUACUGGAACUGAAGCUCUUGAAUAUUUCUCCUCCUUGCUAAAGCACCAGCUACUCCUCCAGAAACUGAAGUAUUUGGACACUUCUUCUUGAGCUGGACUGCUGGAACACCACUUGCUCCUUCACUUCAGCAUCUUCUUGCUACUUUGGUUUAUAUGGUAAGAUAUGUGAAAAUCUUAAUUGGCAUCUGGAUCUGCUACUUUCCUUGCUCUUCCUGGAGUUGAUCCUCUUGCUUGAUUGCUGCUCCAUCUUGCUUGAGCUGCUACUGGUUACUACUCCUCUACUACUAAUCUGACCUCUCAUUCACUCACCCUAGCCUCCCCUGGUUGCACACACAAGGUUGCUACGGCUGUGGUGAUGCAUGGGUGAGAUGUUGAACUAGUGAUCUGCUAGCUGUGAUUAUUCCUCUUUGACUUGAGCAGAAUCCCCAACCGAACUGAUGUUGGUGACUGCUGUUGCGGCAGCUGCUGCUAUUGUUCUUUGCAGUAGAAAUUGGUGGUACUAUUGCUGUGGCUACUGCUGACCUCGGUCUCUACGAUACAAUAGCUUGGGGAGGAAUGAGUUCACACUGCAGUAGUCAUCUUGGUCUUCCUUAAGUGACUCACCUACUUGGGGCUGGUUGUCUGCAGCUAAGCUUGACACCUAAGCAAUGCAUGCUCGGUGGAAUGAUGGAUAGAAUUUUACUAAUUUUCAGUUUAAAUGGAAAAUCUGGUAAAGUAUGAUAUGUUUGAUACUUUUGCACAUGAGUUCCUCAAGUCUGGUAAAAUUGGAGGUUACUAUUAGUUUAGGGACUGACUUUUAAUUUAUUCUAUAACGCACGGUCCCUUUUUGAAAUAUUACUAAUUACACGAUAUGUUCUCGGCUAA